AAACAUUCUAUCAAAAGUAUCUCAGCUGGGUUUAGUAGAGAAUAGUUCAAGAUGGUCCACUUUUAGGAAAAGCCAGGAUAUUUUAUAACUCUUAGAGCAUCCAUUUAUCAUCUUUUAAUUUCCUGAACAGCCCUGUAAAAUUACAAUGGGGAAGGAGGAGCACCCAUGUCUCCCAGCCUUUCAAAGAAUCCCCUGCUAAUCCCAGCAGUGGCCCUGGGUGCCUAAAGGUAGCCUAAUGAAAAAACAUUAAAGGAACAAAGUUGG